UGGGGAAUAUUGCACAAUGGAGGGAACUCUGAUGCAGCGACGCCGCGUGAGUGAUGAAGGAAUUCGUUUCGUAAAACUCUGUUCUAUGGGAAGAAAAGGACUGUACCAUAGGAGAAAGCUCCGGCUAAAUACGUGCCAGCAGCCGCGGUAAUACGUAUGGAGCGAGCGUUGUCCGGAAUUAUUGGGCGUAAAGGGUGCGCAGGCGGCUUUACAAGUUGGAUGUGAAAUAUUGUGGCUCAACCACAAACGUGCAUCCAAAACUGCAAAGCUUGAGUUAAGGAGAGGGAAGUGGAAUUCCUGGUGUAGCGGUGGAAUGCGUAGAUAUCAGGAGGAAUACCGGUGGCGAAGGCGACUUACUGGACUUAAACUGACGCUCAGGCACGAAAGCGUGGGGAGCAAACAGG
rnacentral:rRNA from 1 species